rnacentral:rRNA from 1 species
UACGUAGGGGGCAAGCGUUAUCCGGAUUUACUGGGUGUAAAGGGAGCGCAGGCGGCCUGGCAAGCCUGAUGUGAAAUACCGGGGCCCAACCCCGGGGCUGCAUUGGGAACUGCCAGGCUGGAGUGCCGGAGAGGCAGGCGGAAUUCCUAGUGUAGCGGUGAAAUGCGUAGAUAUUAGGAGGAACACCAGUGGCGAAGGCGGCCUGCUGGACGGUGACUGACGCUGAGGCUCGAAAGCGUGGGGAGCAAACAGG